AGAUGAAUAGACUUCUAGAUAACGGCUGUCUAACGUAGCUACUGCGGAAGGAGCCCCAUACUGUUCUGUUUAUUUCUUGGUCUGCAAGAUGACACUGGUAAGAGGUUAAAACGUCGAGGGGUUUCCCCUGUUCAGGUAGAUAGUGCUCAAGCGAAUGGCAAAGAACAACAGCUAGGCCUCCGUUAUGCUGAGUAUGGAAAAAUAUGGGAGAAAAAAUCACUAUCCAUCCAGAUGUUCAUCUGUUAUUGUGUCGGUACCUUGGCAGAGUACAUGGUUAGGGCUUUUGAAUGUCGGCCUAGGUAUUUAUGAUGCUUGCCUUCUUCAAAAUGU
rnacentral:sRNA from 1 species